UAUCUCUGUAGAGUCUGCAUAUCAAUAAGCGGAGGAAAAGAAACUAACUAGGAUUCCCUCAGUAACGGCGAGUGAAGCGGGAAGAGCUCAAAUUUGAAAUCUUCAAGGUUCUACCUUGACGAAUUGUAGUUUAAAGAAGUGUUUUCUGUUGGAGUUUUGGUAAAAGUUCUUUGGAAUAGGACAUCAUAGAGGGUGAGAAUCCCGUAUUUGACCAUUAUUUCCAGCUUUGAGAUACACUUUCAAAGAGUCGGAUUGUUUGGGAAUGCAGUCCAAAAUGGGUGGUAAAUUUCAUCUAAAGCUAAAUACCGGCGAGAGACCGAUAGCGAACAAGUACCGUGAGGGAAAGAUGAAAAGAACUUUGAAAAGAGAGUUAAACAGUACGUGAAAUUGUCAAAAGGGAAGCAUUUGACACCAGUGUUGUUUUCUCGAAAAUCAAUUAAAAAAGGUAGGAUUUUGUAUUGUUAUGACCUUAUCAGCUUACUGUACUCUUUUCUUGUCUUUUUUAAUGCACUUUUCGUUUAACAAGUCAACAUCAAUUUCUUUUGUUGUAAAAGAGUCAUUGGAAGGUGGCUUUCUUUUCGGAGAAAGUGUUUAUAGCCUUUGGCCUCUGCAAUCGGAGAGAUUGAGGUCUGCAGCGUAGAUCCUUCGGGGUUAGAUACAGUUAGAUGCUAAGUUAUAGCCUUUCAUAGACAACUUGUUGACUAUGAUCAGUCAUGUAGCUUACUCGCUUAUGCUAUUUUACCUACGCUUAGGAUGUUGACGAUCAGCUGAGCGCG
rnacentral:rRNA from 1 species